rfam:Triticum aestivum genome assembly, contig: Triticum_aestivum_CS42_TGACv1_scaffold_622912_7DS
CACAUACUCCCUCUGUCUGAAAAAAUUUGUUUUUUAAAUGGAUGUAUCUAGCAUCAAAUUAGAGGUAGAUACAUUCAUUUAAGAAACAAGUUUGGGACAAACUUUUUCGGACAGAGAGAGUAUGUG